rnacentral:rRNA from 1 species
CCUACGGGGUGCAGCAGUGGGGAAUUUUCCGCAAUGGGCGUAAGCCUGACGGAGCAAUGUCGCGUGGAGGUAAAAGGCCCACGGGUCGUGAACUUCUUUUCCCGGAGAAGAAGCAAUGACGGUAUCUGGGGAAUAAGCAUCGGCUAACUCUGUGCCAGCAGCCGCGGUAAUACAGAGGAUGCAAGCGUUAUCCGGAAUGAUUGGGCGUAAAGCGUCUGUAGGUGGCUUUUUAAGUCCGCCGUCAAAUCCCAGGGCUCAACCCUGGACAGGCGGUGGAAACUGCCAAGCUGGAGUACGGUAGGGGCAGAGGGAAUUUCCGGUGGAGCGGUGAAAUGCGUAGAGAUCGGAAAGAACACCAACGGCGAAAGCACUCUACUGGGCCGACACUGACACUGAGAGACGAAAGCUAGGGGAGGGAAUGGGAUUAGAUACCCUCGUAGUC